rnacentral:rRNA from 1 species
AUACGGAGGGGGUUAGCGUUGUUCGGAAUUACUGGGCGUAAAGCGCACGUAGGCGGAUUGGAAAGUUGGGGGUGAAAUCCCAGGGCUCAACCCUGGAACUGCCUCCAAAACUAACAGUCUAGAGUUCGAGAGAGGUGAGUGGAAUUCCAAGUGUAGAGGUGAAAUUCGUAGAUAUUUGGAGGAACACCAGUGGCGAAGGCGGCUCACUGGCUCGAUACUGACGCUGAGGUGCGAAAGCGUGGGGAGCAAACAGGAUUAGAAACCCCAGUAGUCCC